GCCGGGCGGGGUGUUGCACGCCUGUCAUCCCAGGAACCCUGGAGGCUGAGGUGGGAGGAUCGCAAGUUCGAGGCCAGUCUCAGCAACUAAGCGAGGCCCUGAGCAACUUAGUGAGAUCCUGUCCA
rnacentral:sRNA from 1 species